AUGGAUUGAGAAAAAGCAUGUAAUGGCGAUUGGAGGCGGGAUUGUGAAAGAGAUUCAAAGUGAAGAGUAUAAAAAUACUCUUAACACAAAGAAAGCACAGAGAAACCCGUACUAUGAAGCCAUUUUUUCGAUUUCGGAAGAAGAGGCAAGGGCACCCCGUAGAAAACCUACAGGUAUUUCAGAGCUAUUGAUUAAAUCUCUCCCCUUUUGAUUUUUACCUCUUUCUCCCAUUUCAUUUUUUUUUCUGUUAAAAACAUUCGCGCAAACGAAAAAAAAAGAACAGAACGAUUGAUUACAGUUUCGACAUAGGAAAAGACCGAAAUCAAACUAAAAAGAACCUAAA
rnacentral:lncRNA from 1 species